rnacentral:snRNA from 1 species
GUGCCGGGGCCUCGUUGAUCACCGAGGACGAGCCUCCUGGGCGAGGCGCGGGCAUUGCACUGCGCUCGCAUUGGCCCCUGCCACAACCCCAAACUGGGGCAGAUGGGGCAC